CCUACGUGAGGCAGCAGUGGGGAAUAUUGCACAAUGGGGGAAACCCUGAUGCAGCGACGCCGCGUGAGUGAAGAAGUAAUUCGUUAUGUAAAGCUCUAUCAGCAGGGAAGAAAAUGACGGUACCUGAGUAAGAAGCCCCGGCUAACUACGUGCCAGCAGCCGCGGUAAUACGUAGGGGGCAAGCGUUAUCCGGAUUUACUGGGUGUAAAGGGAGCGUAGACGGCAGUGCAAGUCUGGAGUGAAAGGCGGGGGCUCAACCCCCGGGCUGCUCUGGAAACUGUACGGCUGGAGUGCAGGAGAGGUAAGUGGAAUUCCUAGUGUAGCGGUGAAAUGCGUAGAUAUUAGGAGGAACACCAGUGGCGAAGGCGGCUUACUGGACUGUAACUGACGUUGAGGCUCGAAAGCGUGGGGAGCAAACAGGAUUAGAUACCCCGGUAGUC
rnacentral:rRNA from 1 species